rnacentral:lncRNA from 1 species
GUGAAGCUAAGCUGUAUACCAGAUGACAUCAACUGGUCAGUUUCGAGAAGGAUCUCAUUGAUGAGUAAUCAAAUUGAAAAGAUAUCUUGCUGUCCCAAAUGCCCCAACCUUUCCACUCUAUUUCUCAGGGAUAACGACUUGAAGGGUAUACCGGGCAAAUUCUUUCAGUUUAUGCCAUCCCUUGUCGUCUUGGAUCUUUCGCGUAACCGAAGUCUUAGGGACUUGCCGGAAGAAAUUUGCAGCUUGACUUCCUUGCAGUACCUCAAUUUAUCAUACACACGCAUAAGUUCGUUAUCAGUUGGUUUGAAGGGGUUGAGGAAACUAAUAAGCCUGGACCUGGAGUUCACCAAGCUUAAAAGCAUUGAUGGGAUAGGAACAAGCUUACCAAAUCUUCAGGUGUUGAAACUAUAUCGUUCUCGUCAAUAUAUUGAUGCAAGAUCAAUUGAGGAGCUACAACUUUUAGAGCACUUGAAGAUUUUAACAGGAAAUGUGACAGAUUCUUCAAUUUAUCUGGAAAGUAUCCAAAGAGUGGAGGGAUUGGUGCGUUGUGUUCAACGCCUUCGGGUUAUCAAUAUGUCCGCAGAGGUUUUAACAUUAAACACGGUAGCUCUGGGCGGUCUUCGAGAACUUGAGAUUAUAAAUUCCAAAAUCUCUGAGAUAAAUAUAGAUUGGAAAUGCAAAGGGAAAGAAGAUCUUCCUUCUCCAUGCUUCAAGCACCUCUUCAGUAUUGUUAUACAGGAUUUGGAAGGUCCAAAAGAAUUGAGCUGGUUAUUGUUUGCUCCAAAUCUCAAGCAUCUUGAGGUGAUACGUUCACCAAGCCUAGAAGAAAUAAUAAAUAAGGAGAAGGGAAUGAGUAUUAGCAAUGUGACGGUUCCCUUUCCGAAGCUAGAAUCCCUCACUUUAAGGGGUUUGCCUGAAUUAGAGAGAAUAUGCUCAAGUCCUCAGGCUCUUCCAUCCCUGAAAGAUAUUGCUCACUGCCCAAAGCUGCCACUAGAGAGUUUCCAAGACACGAACAGGUAUGUUGAAAUUGAAGAAUGAGGCUCAGAAGCCCCGUUUCAUAUGUCAUAUGUGUGUGAGUGUAUCCUCUCAGUUUCUUAAACUUGGUUUCGGUUUUAUGUUGUGCCUUCGCUUGAAUGACAUUGUUGCAUUUCCACUUCUCUCCAGUUUGUAAGUUGUAACCAUUUCAUACAGUUUCCUUAAAGCUUUUAUUUGUGUGUAUUCCGAUGUAUCUCUAAUAGUAAGAAAACGACAGUGGGUGAGCAAUCAUCUUCUUCAGUUUCUGCAGCGGUUCAACUUCGUUAGCUUCCACUAUCAUGGUGGUCGGCGAAAAUUGCUAUAAUAAUAAUAGAAAAAAAAUUGCUAUGUAACCUAUUAAAUUGUAAUGAGAAAGAAGACACAUUUGAAUGGUAAUAACUAAUAACCUGUGAUCUGGAGCUUGAGUGAUUAAAGAUCAGUGAUGAAAAAAAAGAUCAUAUAUUUUCUGUUUGAAUGAUUUAUGUUCUCUUCUCUUAUUGUUAAUCAGCAUUGAUACCGUGGAAGUAAAAUCGUGGCAUUUCCGACAAGGUUCUUGAUAUUAGUGUUGCCUAAAGUGUAAACUAUUUCGCAAGUUGGCUGUCUUGCAGUUGUAGUAAUUGACUUUUGAUAAAGAGAGUCAACAAAAGUUAAGAUAUUACUAUUCAUCUGGAUCAUUCCUCAGAGAAGAAAAAAUCCAUGGAACGAACAAAAUACUUUCCUCGUUCUAAUCCCCUAUGUCGAGUGUCUGAUCCAGCUAACCAUCACACACUUUGCCGACGAUGUGAUCCACCACUCUCCAUCUGUUUUGCCUGCAAAGACCAUCAUCUGAAGAGAUAUAGGUAUUAUUACUAUUGCUCUACUUGUGAUUUGGAAUUCCACAGACGUUGCCACUUAUACUUCCUCCCAAAGUAAGCCAUCCUUUUUACCUCCACCACUCUCUGACCCUUACCUCCUCAGAUCCUUCUUUCCAUAGCUCUAAUAACCUGUUGAUUGGGAUAUUAUAUCCUCCGGUUCAGAAAAGUCUGAUAUCAAUAUCUGAUGGAAAUCAUGUCAAAUGCAAGUAUUGUUAGAGACAUGUUAAAGACCGAUACUAUCAUUGUCCAGUCUAUAAUUUCAGUCUACACAUCAAUUGUGCCUUAAAUUCACCACCUCUUUCCCUCUUCCACAAAAGAGUCCCUUUGCCAUGUGAUGUUUGUGGCUUCUCUCUUGACUCUACUUGGGAUCCUGUUUACUCUUGCCAACUUUGUAGGUACAUCGCCCAUAAAAAAUGUAUCUACUUGCCUAGUGUUAUUAAGAUCACCCGUCUCCCACACCAUCACAAACUCAGGAUGAGUUUUCACAACCAAAGCAGAUGAAUAAUACUUUUUUACUUUGUGUGUGAUUGUGUAUAAAAGUGAAUGGCAAUUUUGAAAAUUUAACAUUAGAUUUGAUUAAGGCUACAACUAUUAGUUAGAUAUUUUUUUGUUAAAAAUAUUUGAGGUGAUGACAUAUCGUUAGAAACUAAAUUAGAACAAACUUAAAAAAAAAAUAUAUAUAUAUAUAUAUAUAUAAUAUAUAUUAUGAUUUGUAAAAUAAUUAGAUUAUGUUUAGCUAAGUUUAUGAUUUGUAAAAUAAAUAGACAAAUUUGAUGUGAUAAAACUACAUUUACAAAUAAGGCGGUUUAACCCUAGUAUCCAAAGAUAAAAACUUACAGUUACAUCCAAAAUAACUACAUCAAAAAUUGCUCCAAAUAUAUCUACAGCAACAAAGUUACCGUUAAAGCCAAUUCUUUUACACCAAAAUUUUACAGGUAAGUUUAUACGGCCACGUCCCUAGUUUGCUUUGGGUCGGUCUGGUCUUUUUUUUGCCCACCCCAACAAGUAAUGGGUGAUAUUCAACGAUGUAGAUUCAGAUUCUGCGACCAAGGCAAAAUCACAUUUCGUUUCAGUAAAUUGCUCAGGAAAAAAGAAAAAGAACAUAACAAAUUGGAUUGGACUGUAAAAUCCAAAGUCUUAAAGUCCACAAGUGGUUCAUGUGACUCUAAUUAGACAUCCUUGGGGAUAGGAAAAGUGUGGCCUUCAUUAUUAUUGUUUUGUGAAUUAUUGGUGUAGAGUUAUUGGUCUUCGCAUAUGGCUUACUAUUUUCUCACCAAGUCAAUGAAAAUUAUUGGUGUUCCUCUUUCUCUUUCUCUUGUUCAUUCACCAAAGCAGUGAGUUUAGUGGUUUUGGUUUCUUUCGGAAAGUUUGAGCAAAGAUGGGAGGCUGUGUAUCACUAGAUUUAUCAUGUGAUCAAACGCUGAAUCAAACUUGCAACUGCUUAUUUGGGGAUGGAAAUUACAUUCAUAUGAUGAAGGCUAAUCUGGAGGCUCUGGAGACAACUAUGCAAGAACUUAGACAAAGGCGAGAUGAUCUGUUAACAAGAGUUUCCACAGAAGAAGAUAAAGGUUUGCAGCGGCUUGCUCAAGUAGAAGGAUGGUUGUCAAGGGUAGCACGUAUUGACUCUCAGGUCAGUGAUCUGCUUAAGGACGAACCAACUGAAACGAAAAGAUUGUGUCUUUUUGUAUAUUGUUCUACAAAGUGCAUAUCAAGCUGUGAGUAUGGUAAAAAGGUAUCAAAGAAGUUGGAAGAAGUUAAAGAGCUUCUAUCUAGAAAAGAUUUUGAAAAGGUGGCUGAAAAAAGACCUGCACCAAAGGUGGGGAAGAAACAUAUCCAAACAACAAUAGGUUUGGAUUCCAUGGUUGAAAAGGCAUGGAACAGCAUCAUGAAACCUGAACGAAGAACGUUAGGUAUCUAUGGCAUGGGGGGAGUUGGAAAAACAACCCUCUUAACUCAUAUCAACAACAAAUUGGACAAAGAGGUGAAUGGAUUUGAUGUUGUGAUAUGGGUUGUGGUCUCUCAAGAUUUGCAAUACAAGGGCAUUCAGGAUCAGAUUCUACGAAGAUUACGUGUUGACAAGGAAUGGGAAAAUCAAACAGAGGAGGAGAAAGCAUCUUCCAUAGACGAUAUCCUAGGAAGAAAGAAAUUUGUUCUGCUGUUAGAUGAUCUGUGGAGCGAGGUAGAUUUGAACAAGAUUGGAGUUCCACGUCCAACUCAAGAAAAUGGAUCGAAGAUAGUUUUCACCACUCGUUCAAAGGAAGUUUGCAGUGACAUGGAAGCUGAUGAUAAGUUGCAAAUUGAUUGUUUGCCAGCGAAUGAAGCGUGGGAACUGUUUCGAAGUAUAGUUGGAGAAGACACAUUAAAGCUGCAUCAGGAUAUUCCCACACUUGCAAAGAAAAUUUGUGAAAAAUGUUAUGGCUUGCCACUUGCACUCAAUGUGAUUGGCAAAGCUAUGAAAUAUAAAGAGGAUGUACACGAAUGGCGUCACGCAAAAAAGGUUCUCAGUACGUCUAGCCACGAGUUUCCAGGUAUGGAAGAAAAGAUUCUUUCAAUUUUGAAGUUCAGCUAUGAUGGCUUAAAGGAAGAAAAUGUGAAAUCAUGCUUCCUAUACUGUUCUUUGUUCCCGGAAGAUUAUGAAAUAAAGAAGGAGGAGUUGAUAGAGUAUUGGAUCAAUGAAGGAUUUAUAAAUGGAAAGAGAGAUGAAGAUGGAAGUAACAACCAAGGUCAUGUUAUAAUUGGUUCGUUAGUUCGUGCGCAUCUAUUGAUGGAAUCCGAAACUACUGUGAAAAUGCAUGAUGUGUUACGUGAAAUGGCUCUUUGGAUAGGGUCUACGUCUGCAAAAGAGGAAGAAAAGCAGUGCGUCAAAUCUGGUGUGAAGCUAAGCUGUAUACCAGAUGACAUCAACUGGUCAGUUUCGAGAAGGAUCUCGUUGAUGAGUAAUCAAAUUGAAAAGAUAUCUUGCUGCCCUGAGUGCCCCAACCUUUCGACUCUAUUUCUCCAGGGUAACAAUUUGGAGGGUAUACCGGGUGAAUUCUUUCAGUUUAUGAAAGCCCUUGUCGUCUUGGAUCUCUCGCAUAACCUACUUUGGGAAUUGCCGGAAGAAAUUUGCAGCUUGACUUCCUUG